UGGGGAAUAUUGGACAAUGGGCGAAAGCCUGAUCCAGCCAUGCCGCGUGUGUGAAGAAGGUCUUCGGAUUGUAAAGCACUUUAAGUUGGGAGGAAGGGCAGUAAGCGAAUACCUUGCUGUUUUGACGUUACCGACAGAAUAAGCACCGGCUAACUCUGUGCCAGCAGCCGCGGUAAUACAGAGGGUGCAAGCGUUAAUCGGAAUUACUGGGCGUAAAGCGCGCGUAGGUGGUUCGUUAAGUUGAAUGUGAAAGCCCCGGGCUCAACCUGGGAACUGCAUCCAAAACUGGCGAGCUAGAGUAGGGCAGAGGGUGGUGGAAUUUCCUGUGUAGCGGUGAAAUGCGUAGAUAUAGGAAGGAACACCAGUGGCGAAGGCGACCACCUGGGUUCAUACUGACACUGAGGUGCGAAAGCGUGGGGAGCAAACAGG
rnacentral:rRNA from 1 species